GCCCUCGUAGUUCAAUGGAUAGAACGGAAGGUUUCUAACCUUUUGAUGUAGGUCCGAUUCCUACCGAGGGCA
rnacentral:tRNA from 1 species